GGGAAGCCGGUGCGAAUCCGGCGCUGACCCGCAACCGUGAAGGUGCUCGUGUGCGUGUACCUGCGUCCCCCGGGGCGUGUGUGCCGCCGCGCGGGCCCUGAGCCGGAGCGCC
rnacentral:ncRNA from 2 species